GCGGCACUCGGUGUGAGGGCGGCGGAGCCGGCGGUGUUCAUCAGCAUCGGCUUCUUCUCCCCGGCCGCUUCUCGGCAGCUGCUGCUGCAGCUCCCCGGCCUGUGGCUCGUAGCACCGGCCCGCCAGAGCCCUGCCGCCCGGAGGUGAGCGCUCUGAGGCUUCUUCCCUUGUCGCCCAGUCGGAACUAUCGCCCUCCGCGCGGCCGUGAGGAGGCUGAGGCUGCCCCUUCCCCCCCGCUCCCGGCCUGCCGGCGUGGGGUGCCUCCUCUGCCCGUUUCCGUCCUCCCCGCGUGUUGAAAAUCGUUGUCCUGUGUGCACUAGCAGCUAACUGAGCUCAGCUCACUGUUGACAGCCACCAUCAUCAGCAGGUCCCUUUCCCUCUGCGCGUGAGGCUUUUGGUUAUGUACCGUAAAUCCAAGUGGAAGCGCGGGUACAAUCUCGAGGGGCUUGGACACGGAAAUAAUGAAAAAAGUGUGCCACAACUCCUGAUCAGAGACCUGAAGUUUGAGAAGUCAUUAGCUAAGCUCAUGUUUUCUCCUGAUCAAGAAAAUCAUCCAUCAAAAGCACCAGUCAAAUAUGGUGAAUUGAUUGUACUGGGGUACAAUGGGUCUCUCCCAAAUGGAGAUAGAGGAAGAAGGAAAAGUAGGUUUGCUUUAUUUAAAAGGCCCAAGGCAAAUGGGGUGAAACCCAGCACUGUGCACAUUGCCUGUACCCCUCAAGCAGCAAAGGCAAUAAGUAAUAAGGACCAACACAGCAUAUCUUACACUUUGUCUCGAGCCCAGACAGUAGUGGUUGAAUAUACUCAUGACAGCAACACAGAUAUGUUCCAGAUUGGUCGGUCAACAGAGAGUCCUAUAGACUUUGUAGUAACCGAUACAGUUCCUGGGAGUCAGAGUAAUUCGGAUACACAGUCUGUGCAGAGCACAAUAUCAAGGUUUGCCUGCAGAAUCAUAUGUGAACGUAACCCUCCCUUUACAGCAAGGAUAUAUGCUGCAGGAUUUGACUCCUCAAAAAACAUUUUUCUUGGGGAGAAAGCUGCAAAGUGGAAGACGUCAGAUGGGCAAAUGGAUGGACUAACAACAAAUGGAGUUCUUGUUAUGCAUCCUCGUAAUGGAUUCACAGAAGACUCCAAGCCAGGAGUGUGGAGAGAGAUUUCUGUGUGUGGGAACGUGUUCAGCCUCCGUGAAACCAGAUCAGCUCAACAGAGGGGAAAGAUGGUUGAGAACGAGACGAACCAGCUGCAGGACGGCUCCCUGAUCGACCUGUGCGGGGCGACGCUGCUGUGGCGCACGGCCGAGGGGCUCGCGCGCACGCCGACCGUCAAGCACCUGGAGGCUCUGAGGCAGGAGAUCAACGCAGCCAGGCCCCAGUGCCCCGUGGGCUUCAACACCCUGGCCUUCCCCAGCAUGAAGAGAAAAGAUGUUGUAGAUGAAAAGCAGCCGUGGGUGUACCUGAACUGCGGCCACGUGCACGGCUACCACAACUGGGGGAACAAAGAGGAGAGGGACGGCAAGGACCGCGAGUGCCCCAUGUGCCGCUCCGUCGGCCCCUACGUGCCCCUGUGGCUCGGGUGCGAAGCGGGAUUUUACGUGGAUGCCGGACCUCCGACUCAUGCAUUCAGCCCGUGUGGACACGUGUGCUCAGAAAAGACAACUGCAUAUUGGUCCCAAAUUCCUCUUCCUCACGGUACUCACACUUUUCACGCAGCCUGUCCCUUCUGUGCGCAUCAGCUGGCUGGUGAGCAGGGUUACAUCAGGCUCAUUUUCCAAGGGCCUCUCGACUAACACAGGUGUUCCCAAGGACUGCAGUAAACUGAUAAGCUAAGCGAUUCUCAUUUUUAAACCAACUGUUUUUCGUAUUCUCUGGGCUUUGCUGGUUUGCAUUAAGAUGAAGAAUUUUUUGGUUUUUUGGUUACAACAGCUAAAUCCCUCUUUAUUGGGAAAAGUCUGGAAAUAGAAGAAAUGAGGGGAGAAGGGGGAGACCUCCUGCUUUUUUUGGUUAAUAACUACAUCUGAAGAGGAACAUGAAAAGCCAGAAAAGAACACGAUGAAAGCUACAAAGCAGUAUGAGUAACACAGAGCUGAACUGUGAGCACAGAUGGAGCACAGGAUGGUAGGAGGAAUAUGGGAAGUGGUGUUGGAGGUCCAGCUGGAGGCUGAUGCAGAGCCAGGGAUGCAGUUGGGUACAUGCACACCUAACUGCAGAGGGGAAGAAGAGAGGGUCAUGCCCAACGUGCAGCCCUUGUUAAAGCCCUACCCCAUUUAAGAUGAUACAUUGUGCUUACACUGUACUUCUCUACCUCACUUCUCACCUCCCCCCAAAAAAAGGCAUCCCAGACAAAGGUAUCUGAGCAGAACUGGCUGUGUCUCUGGGGAGUGUUAGGCUAAGGUCACUCUUCAGUCUGCCCCACAUUCUGCCUGUGUUGUACUUCUCCUCACCCAAGUUUGGCUUGUUUUAUCCCGUUUUUAGAAGGGCGGAACAUGGGCAUUCAAACACUUGAGACAGGGAAAUCCCACAGUCAGAGGCAGCAUAGCAAUGGUUGAGUAGUUUGAGGAGCAAGUUCCAUCACCAACAACAGCAUCUCUAACUCUGGUACCCUGUUUGAGUUUCCCCAGGCUUCUGUUCUUUGAUAAACGACUGCAAUAGUCCUCUGUAAAUGGUAAAGUGAAUUUCAGAUUAAAAGUACUCAAACAGAUGACUGAAGCACUCUGAACUUUAAGGCCAAACCUUUUGAACAAAUUUUAGUGCUGCAAGAGGUGGCACCUUGCUGACUUUAAGACAAUCACAGCUCCACUUGUGACAGCCUAAAGCAGCCCCUUGCAGCUGCAAAGACCAGCCCCAGGUGAGAUCUGGGCCUUCACCUGCUUUUAAAGGUUUGCUGGACUGGCAAGAAGCAUUGGUGAUGCAAGCAGCAGAUGGGACAGGACUGGUCUCUGGGAGACCACUGCAGGUAUAAGGAACUGGUAAGGGAAUGAAUGGGAAAAUGACAUUAAGUGUAGGUACUUUUCUAGCCUUAAAGUUCAGUGAAGCUCUGCAGAAGUGCCUCUGGAAAUGAGCAGCCAGUGUUCUGGUUUGUGUGUGGCUUCCCUGUUCUGUGCAAUGUGUAAAGCAGGUGAUUUAAUGAACUAAUUUGCCUUUCAGCUGUAGGAAAUUGCAUGGAUUUAACACUGCUAGAAAGCAGCAGCUGGCUAAUGAAGUCCUUUUGUUUUGUUUUUUUUGUUUUUUCCCUAUAGCAGAAGUGGGGCACCACAAGGUGCUGGCAGGGGGACAGGAGCAUCGACGGGGGGUUGCUGUGGCUUUCCUGGGGAGAACAGAGUGCUCUGGUUCCUUUGCUGACUCAGCCACUGGGUUGGAGCAGCCCCACGAGUGCCUGGUGUGGUGCAGGCUGAGGAUGAGGCCUUCCCAUCCCAGCUGUGCUGGGCUUCUUACACCUGCAGGAAUGAGCCUGGUCUUAGGGAAGGUUUAACAUGAAGUCACCUCAGGAGACUCUUGUGUAGGAAGGUGCUCUGCAAAUCCCAUAAUGAUCCUGCCAUGGCAUGCUUGAUCUUCUGAAGCGACACUUUCCAGGCUCAAUUCUAAAAAUACAUUUCCAGUUUUGCAAUAUAAAUCUACCCUGAUGACUACAAAUACUUCCAUGCUGUCUUUCAGCCUGGAUUAGGCCUGGUUGCUGUUGAAUUAGACCAGAUUUUGUGGUCCUUGUCUUGGCUCAUCUCUUUCUGUAAAAACACUGGCAGAGCUCAUCUAUUUUUAAUUGCAGCACUUGGCUUUACCAUAAGGGCUGUGAUCAUCCUAGAAAUGCAGUUUCUAAGGCUCUUUUGUGACUGUAGCAGAUCACUUGUACCUGCACUGUUGUGCAUACUGUAAAGAAGAUCUGGGAAGGCAUCUCUGCAGGAGCUGUGAUGGUUCCUGUGACUGGGAUCAGGGACUCCUUGGCACAUGUGGCCUCUGCAGGGGCAGCAGCAGUCCUGCCCCUUCCCAGGUGCUGCUUUCAGGGCAGCAGCAGGAGCUCAGGCUCCUGUUUCCUCCUGGAGAACAGCUCUACAUCACUGUGCUGUUGGGAGGCAAUCCUCCUGUAUUCCAGUGGGGAAACACCAAUAGGUGCUACUGCAGCAGGAGCAGCCAGCUCCUUCAGCUCUGCUGGUUCUUGGUCUGGUUCCAUCUCUGAAAGCAAAAAGGGGGCAGAUUCAAAGAGCAGAAAAAAUGGGGUUUUAUUCCCUCAAGCCUCAGGGGCCUCUGUGAGAGCAGCCAUGCCAAACCCAGCCUCUGGGAUCACAGCAGGGCCAGUGGCCUUGGACAUGCCCGAGGCUGGGAUCAGUGCAGCCUUAGGGAAUGGCAUUAGCUGUAAACCCCAGUGCCUGAAUCUUUAUGUUCCUGCCUUGGACCCCCUGAGGAUGAGCUGCUUCCCAUCCUCCCUGUGCCUUGAAGCCCUGGCAACACAGCCCAUCCCACAGUCACAGUGGGCAGCUCCUGUUUGCCUUGCCCAGCACAAGCCCUUGUGGGAUCAGGAAUGCAUGGCCUGGGGCUGCAUUCCUCGAGGCUAAGCUCCAGGGAAGAUGAGUAACCAGAGGCAAAGUGCCAGCUCUGGCAGUCAGGAGCUCCCUGCCACUCUUGGGCUUGCUGCUUUUGUGCCUGGCUCUCAGUCCUUGUCCUACUGCCCCUCUUGCAGGGCUGGCAGGAGGGGAUGGAACCAGCACCAACAUCACUCUUUCCUGGUGUGGUGUUUGCCUGGCUCUGCUGGCAAGGAUAUGUUUGUGGCAGCAGCAAAGCUGCUUCUGCCAGCCCUGCUGAGAGCCCCUUGCUCCAGUGCAGGGGCUGAGAUAUUCCAUGGGAAUACAAAUGACCUCAAGAUCAACUCAAAGAAGGACUUUCCUGCUGCAAAGGCAACUUCUCUGCAAUUUGGCAAUACCUGCAAUAUUGUAAUGUUUUUAUUUUGAUUUAAGGUCACUAAACAGCUCUGAGGCAGGAGUAAAUUAUUAAUCUGCUCUGACUUCUUUCCUCUACCUUGUCUACAUCUGUAGUACCAGUUCUCUGCUGAGAUCACUACUGGAGAUCUGCUGCCUUCCAGAAAAACAAUGAGAGUGGAGUUCUUAGGAGUUUGAACACAUGCCAGGAUGGUCUAUUUUUCCUUUUUGUAGUGGAAAGGUCUCCUGAAAAGGCUUCCCCUCUUCCAGCCUUGGCAUGGCACACGGACUCCUCAGGAUUCCCUGUGAGCACUGCACGGAGCAUGAGCGGCACAGAGAGAGGAAGGAGGACAUGAUAGUUCGUGUUGUCAGUCAGAUUUAAGUGUGGUUAAAUACAGUUAUAAACCAGUGGGAAAAGCUUCUUCAUGUGUGUUUUCUUUGCUACUCACUCCCAAGAUUAAGUGUCUGCUUAUUUAUACAAUUGUCUUGACCCUUAUAUUUGUUUCUGCUUCAACAUCCCCCCCAAAGAAAAAAAAUUAAAUUCACUUUACUCUGCAAAUGUUUUAUGUGAAAGUUUCUCAAUUGUGUUUGCUGUGAUUAUGCCUUUCCUUAAGUUAUUCUAU